GGCGGCGGCGCAGUGCCGACGAUGAAGGAGAUAGGAUGGAGCUAACCGUGGCCAAAGACAGGAAACAGCGUCAGGUGAGUCGGCAACAACCCAGUGCAAGUGGAGGUGAUGGGGGCGACCGCCAGAUCGUAGGUGGAUGCCUUAGAUCAAACAGAGUUGUGCUUCUCCCUGUCCGCACCAUACUUCAUCUCAGAUCGAACUUGGACAGCCAGAUUUGAGGUUGGAAGAGCUGGCGGAACCUGAGGCUAAGAUUUUUUUCGGUUCUAGAGUUGAUUAUGUUCAUUUAUAUCAAAUGGUCAAGCAAAAUAGUCCAUCUGCUGACAGAAAUUGUAUUUGGUCGGAAUCAUCACAAUACUUUGAAGCAGAUACGGCAAGCUCAAAGCCACCCAUUGUAAGGGUACUGUAGAGAAGCUAUCAAGGCAUGAUCUAGG